rnacentral:misc_RNA from 1 species
GAAAUGCGAUAAGUAAUGUGAAUUGCAGAAUUCAGUGAAUCAUCGAAUCUUUGAACGCACCUUGCGCUCCUUGGUAUUCCUUGGAGCAUGCCUGUUUGAGUAUCAUGAAAUCUUCAAAGUAAAUCUUUUGUUAACUCAAUUGGUUUCUACUUUGGUAUUGGAGGUCUUUGCAGCUUCACACCUGCUCCUCUUUGUUCAUUAGCUGGAUUUCAGUGUUAUGCUUGGUUCCACUCGGCGUGAUAAGUUAUCUAUCGCUGAGGACACUGUAAAAGGUGGCCAAGGUAAAUGCAGAUGAACCGCUUCUAAUAGUCCAUUGACUUGGACAAUACUUUUAUGAUCUGAUCUCAAAUCAGGUAGGACUACCCGCUGAACUUAAGC